GUCUCGGUAGCGUAGUGGUCAAGACGCUCGCCUGGUAAACAGGAGGGCGUGGGUUCGAUCCCAGCCGAGGCA
rfam:Asian citrus Psyllid, Diaphorina citri - Florida Strain, whole genome shotgun sequence.